UGGGGAAUUUUGGACAAUGGGGGCAACCCUGAUCCAGCCAUUCCGCGUGAGUGAAGAAGGCCUUCGGGUUGUAAAGCUCUUUCGCAAGGGAAGAAAACUUAUGAUCGAAUAAAUCAUGAGGUUGACGGUACCUUGAUAAGAAGCACCGGCUAACUACGUGCCAGCAGCCGCGGUAAUACGUAGGGUGCGAGCGUUAAUCGGAAUUACUGGGCGUAAAGCGUGCGCAGGCGGUUUUGUAAGUCGGAUGUGAAAUCCCCGGGCUCAACCUGGGAACUGCGUUCGAAACUGCAAGGCUAGAGUGUGUCAGAGGGGGGUAGAAUUCCACGUGUAGCAGUGAAAUGCGUAGAGAUGUGGAGGAAUACCAAUGGCGAAGGCAGCCCCCUGGGAUAACACUGACGCUCAUGCACGAAAGCGUGGGGAGCAAACAGG
rnacentral:rRNA from 2 species